rnacentral:lncRNA from 1 species
ACCACUUGGAUCUAUAUGAUGCAAACAUUUUAAAUUACAUUUGGAAAUGGACAGAUCUACAGUCAUGAUGAGGGAUUUGACAUGCUGUGCUCAGUAAUGCAUAGUAUAAACAAAAAUAUUAGACAGGAUAUAGGAGAUUAAAAUUUGAAAGCUUGAUAUAAUGGAUACACAUCCUUGUUCCCAACAUGUAAAGAAUUCUUGAAUGUUCAUGACACAUUAAACAAUUUCCUAAAUAGUGACACUAGAGCAAAUUUUAAUAAAUGCCAAAAACGAAUAUCAAACAUACCAUGUUUCCUCAAUGUAGUCAUACCACAGUGCAAUCAAAUUAGAAAGCCAUAUAAAAUAUUAAUCCUUAUCCACAAUUUAAAAUUUUAAAACACAAUUUUAAGUAUCUCAAGGGUCAAAGCAGAGUCCAUUAUGAAAAUCUAAAGAUAUCUGGAAGUGAAUGACAGCACCAGUGUUACAGAACAGAACUCAUGGGAUGCAGUUAAAAUUGUAACUGGAAAGAUGGCUGUAUCCUAAAUGCUUGCAUUAGAAAGGAAGAGGACCACGAAAUCAGAACUAAGUGUCCAAAUGAAGACUCUUGAAAAAACUGAAAUUUCAUUUUUUUCUUCUCAUUUUAAAAGAAAUGAAAAGUUGUCCUGGCCCCUAGAAGGGUUGCUGGCUGUCAACCCUGGUUCUAUGAUGCAUGUGUAGUGUGGAGAUUCAACUAAAUGGAUCAUCUAUGGCAAGAGGCUUCAAGAAAAGCAUGAAGAAAAUGCACAGGUCUGGGUUACUCCUGAUGUUCCUUCCUGCUUUUCUCAUCAAGGCGAUUCUUCAGCGAUCUCAGGAAACUGGCUCACCUGGACAGAAUCUGGGCAUAAAUUACUAUAACAGAAAGGCCAAAAAAAGAGCUUGCAAAGGAGCAAGGGAAGUAAGAAAGAGGGAGAUACUCAUUUCUCAACAGAAUUGAGGAGCCAUGUCUCUGGUGAGUGGCAUAUAUUGAAUUUAAUAAUGUUUGUCUGCUGGGGUAGACAACAACAUGGAGUGUAAAAUUUGGUGUGACAUCGAUCUUGGACUUGGCUCGUAUAUAUAAUCAAUCGCAAACUGCACCCUUCACCACGAACACCUCCCAAACUAAACACAAACCCAAAGUUGAUUCUAUUCAGCAAGUCUCUAAAAUCUGCAGCCUCUAGUUUGAUCUGGCCAAAGAAAUAUUCAACUGUUUGAUUCUUUUAAAGUCCUAUUGUGUCUGAAGUUUCUUUUACCUUCUUAAAAUUCUUAUCUUGGUCACACUUCUCUUUGCAUCUGUGACUCUUUCCACAGUUGACUUUCUAAUUUAUGAAAAACACAAACAACCAAAAAACAAACCCCCACUAGCAACAGCCCUCCCCAAUAUCCCCCCAAACCCUGAGGCCUGUGUAUUUCCCAAAUGUGCUUUGGCUUUUCUUCUUGCUUAAUUUAAAUUUGUCCUAUGUCUCAACAGGAUGUACAACUCUAUGUGUGUUAGAGAAUUUCAGUGUCAAGUUUUAGAAUUGCUUUUUCAACUGCUUCUCUGCUCUGUAGUCUCUUGACUCGAAGUCCUGAAUUCUUCUGCUGGCAUUUCACAUGUAAUGAUGUUGGUUGUCCCUGAAAUAUUAUGUGUGGAGUGAGCAUCCCUUCAAAUAUAUAUAAAAAUAUAUUUUUUAAGGCCCAUGCCUAAUAAAACUGCAGCUGUCUAUCUGCUGGGGGAAGCAAGGAACUAUAGCUCUUGCACAAGAAUAAAGUACUAGAAAUAUCAUUACCCAGGAAUACAUGAGCUACAGGUAAAGAAUAUACCAAAAUAAUUUCUGUUACCUGCAUUCAAAAUGUGGUUAUGCUGACAAAGCCUUUAGACCAUGUGUAUAUGGCAAAGAAGCUGUUUUCCUGAGAACCAGAGAGAAAAAUCAGGAACCUUGGGGGUGUGUGCACAUCUAAAUUCUUAAAGGUAUUUUGGAUGGACAUUAACUCUGCUUGUGAGUUUCACUGGAGAACCACUGCAUCAACCUCCAAAAGGAACGCAUUAAUAUUUAGUCAUAAUCAUGAAUCUAACAAGGAAGCAAUCAUGUAAUUGAACAAUAACAGCAGUGUGUUUCCCAGAGAAGAUUCAAAUCAGACAACAAGAACAGAGCUUCUGUAAUUUUCUCUAUGCUCUUCUCUAAAGAAAAAAGGAUGUUAAUGUUGUAUUGUUUCUUUCUUUAAGUUCUUUGAUAUUGAGGCCAAAACUAUGCUUCCACGUUGGUUGGCCCUCCUAUCUGUUAACAAUAUAAGAUCUGGCUGUAUCCAAAAUACAUACCAUUUCCAAAGCGGAUUUCAUAUUGUCUCUUCAGGACCAACUAGGUGGCAGGAAGCUAGGUCCCUCGUGAUGUCUUGGGACAUUCAAAGUCCUGUUUCUCAGUGGGUAGAAAAGAAUUAGUGAAACAACAACCACAAAAGGCUGCUGACUUUUGUUUUUCUUUGCAAGCUAACUUCUCAAGCUCUGGGGAUGCCUCGGUGAUCUCCGAUGUGCAAUUAGUAGAGGCCAGCCGUUGCUCACCUCUACACAGUCUGCUACUCAUUAGCGAGCAGGAGUUCUGAUGUUCCUCUCAUCUUGGAUGGUAAGAAAUUUAUGAAAAUGCUAAGUCCUGAGGACUAAAAGAGGAAAUGAGGACUAAAUAUACAAAAUAGUCCAGAAGGCAGCAUGUGAAAGAGAGCAUUAAUAAAUAAUGUUGGUCAUCAGUCAUUAAUGCCACGGGGAUCCUAGGCGAUGGCUAGGAAAUGGCUUUCGCAGGCUGAGAUGGUGGUAGCGCUUCACCCUCUA